rnacentral:rRNA from 1 species
AACAUGGAUGGACUGCGGUGCAUUAGCUGGUUGGUGAGGUAACGGCCCACCAAGGCGACGAUGCAUAGCCGGCCUGAGAGGGCGGACGGCCACAUUGGGACUGAGACACGGCCCAAACUCCUACGGGAGGCAGCAGUAGGGGAUUUUCGUCAAUGGGGGGAACCCUGAACGAGCAAUGCCGCGUGAGUGAGGAAGGUCUUUGGAUCGUAAAGCUCUGUUGUAAGAGAAAUGGUAUCUUACCAGAAAGUCACGGCUAACUACGUGCCAGCAGCCGCGGUAAUACGUAGGUGGCGAGCGUUAUCCGGAAUGAUUGGGCGUAAAGGGUGCGUAGGUGGCAGAUCAAGUCUGGAGUAAAAGGUAUGGGCUCAACCCGUACUGGCUCUGGAAACUGAUCGGCUAGAGAACAGAAGAGGACGGCGGUACUCCAUGUGUAGCGGUAAAAUGCGUAGAUAUAUGGAAGAACACCGGUGGCGAAGGCGGCCGUCUGGUCUGAUUCUGACACUGAAGCACGAAAGCGUGGGGAGCAAAUAGGAUUAGAUACCCUAGUAGUCCACGCCGUAAACGAUGAGAACUAGGUGUUGGGC